AUGAUUCAUCAGCCAAACAAGAAGACAGAGAUCCUGAUUCUGGGGAUACUGUUCCCAGUGGUAAUGGUGCUCUACAAGAUUGAGCCCAGACACAACAUGUGGGUUACCUGGGCGGAUAAGACAGGGCAACACGCUUUCUGUUUGUCUCUAGCUUCCGCUACCCAACCCUUUAGAACCUGUCUAAUAGGGGUCCCCAGCUACAAUGUCAACAGCUUCCAGGAGUACAGCACGGGAAGCUGCAGUUGCAGUCUGUCGACUGCUAACUGCAGUGCCACCCUCAUUGCAGGCCUAAACAGAACGCUGCCAUGGGACCCACAGGAGCUAAACCUGUUGGGGUCCAUGAGAAUUGGGAACACGACGGGAAAUUGGACUCAAACAUGUAUAUAUUUUGGGGGACGCGUGCACCCUUACCGGUUAUUUAACUGGACAGGGUGGACGAACAUCACCCCAACAGCAGUCUAUUAUGAUUAUCAAAAUCAUGCUUCCUUCUGUGGCACCAAUGGCACCAGCCUCCAGGGCCUGGGAGCCCUUGGGGCUGAGGUCAAAAAGGGGCACUUAAUUUGGAACAAUGGUACCCCAAAGGCCUUGCCACCAGACGUCUUUUUGAUAUGUGGUGACAGGGCCUGGCAGGGAAUCCCAAAAAGYGUAAUGGGUGGUCCGUGUUAUCUUGGUAAGCUGACAUUACUGGCACCGGAUCAAAAUUGGUGGAAACAUAUCACGGAGAAYGAGACCGCYGUCYGCAGUAAACRAGCAGCCAUAGGGCUCUCACCCGAYUGUAAUGAYCAAGUUUCCCUACGCAGUCCYACUGAAAGAGUGUUUUUGUCYUUCUUCGUGCCUGGCGCAGCGGCAGGCAACACCCUGAACCAGAUCGGCCGAUUGGCUUGCUGGGCUGAGAAGCAAGCUAACGUCACCACUGAGAUAAUAGAGAGCCUAUUAGAGGAUCAAGGUAGUUUGCGACAUGCUAUUCUGCAAAAUAGAGCUGCAAUUGAUUUUUUGCUAUUAGCUCAAGGCCAUGGUUGUGAGGAUUUUGMAGGUAUGUGUUGCAUGAAUUUGUCUGAUCAUGGUGAAUCAAUUCACAAACAAUUGCAGUGGUUGAAGGAACAUACAAGCAAGAUCCGUCAGAACCAUGGGCUAUUCGAUGAAUGGCUAACUAACCUGUUUGGAAAUCUACCGCAAUGGCUAACAGGAUUGCUUACUGAAGGCUUACGCAUUUUACUAAUCCUUGUAGUUGUCAGUUUGUGCUUAUGYGUAGUACUGAGCUGCUUUAAGAAYGCUCUGCUAAAGGUAGUGAACCACGCCUGGAUUGCUCAAAAACAAGAGGGGGAAAUGAUGGAGGAAUGGUUAUGGGAAUGGUUAAGUGAGAGAGGGCAUGCUCUGAUUGGGAUGAGCAAUCCCGUCUUCAGGGUAGAGGAARGA
rnacentral:lncRNA from 1 species